rnacentral:lncRNA from 1 species
UAAACUUUGUGUAUAUUGAGUAGGAACUGCUGUUUGAUUACUUGAUAAUUUCUUGGUUGACUGAGUUAAUAUUAGUUAUGUUUUUGGCUUGUUGUAAAGUGAAUUGAUUGUGAUGUGUUGUGAAGUGAAAUGAUUGUAAUUAAGGAUUGAUGACUCUUGUAUGGAUAUUGUGUGAUCGGAAAAGCUGAGCCGGGCGGAUAGCUACCCGAGUAUGUGAGAUGGCAAGACUGAGCCGGGCG